CGGAGGAAAAGAAACCAACAGGGAUUGCCCCAGUAACGGCGAGUGAAGCGGCAACAGCUCAAAUUUGAAAUCUGGCUCUCGGGCCCGAGUUGUAAUUUGUAGAGGAUGCUUUUGGUGAGGUGCCUUCCGAGUUCCCUGGAACGGGACGCCAUAGAGGGUGAGAGCCCCGUCUGGUUGGACACCGAUCCUCUGUAAAGCUCCUUCGACGAGUCGAGUAGUUUGGGAAUGCUGCUCUAAAUGGGAGGUAUAUGUCUUCUAAAGCUAAAUACCGGCCAGAGACCGAUAGCGCACAAGUAGAGUGAUCGAAAGAUGAAAAGAACUUUGAAAAGAGAGUUAAAAAGUACGUGAAAUUGUUGAAAGGGAAGCGCUUGUGACCAGACUUGGGCUUGGUUGAUCAUCCGGGGUUCUCCCCGGUGCACUCUUCCGGCUCAGGCCAGCAUCAGUUCGCCCUGGGGGAUAAAGGCUUCGGGAAUGUGGCUCUCUCCGGGGAGUGUUAUAGCCCGCUGCGUAAUACCCUGUGGCGGACUGAGGUUCGCGCAUUCGCAAGGAUGCUGGCGUAAUGGUCAUCAGUGACCCGUCUUGA
rnacentral:rRNA from 1 species